rnacentral:rRNA from 1 species
AUUGAACGCUGGCGGAAUGCUUUACACAUGCAAGUCGAACGGUAGAGGGGGCAACCCCUUGAGAGUGGCGAACGGGUGAGUAAUAUAUCGGAACGUGCCCAGUCGUGGGGAUAACGUAGCGAAAGUUACGCUAAUACCGCAUACGAUCUAAGGAUGAAAGCGGGGGAUCGCAAGACCUCGCGCGAUUGGAGCGGCCGAUAUCAGAUUAGGUAGUUGGUGAGGUAAAGGCUCACCAAGCCAACGAUCUGUAGCUGGUCUGAGAGGACGACCAGCCACACUGGAACUGAGACACGGUCCAGACUCCUACGGGAGGCAGCAGUGGGGAAUAUUGGACAAUGGGCGCAAGCCUGAUCCAGCCAUGCCGCGUGCAGGAUGACGGUCCUAUGGAUUGUAAACUGCUUUUAUACAGGAAGAAACACUCCGACGUGUCGGAGCUUGACGGUACUGUAAGAAUAAGGAUCGGCUAACUCCGUGCCAGCAGCCG